AUUGAACGCUGGCGGCAGGCCUAACACAUGCAAGUCGAACGGUAGCACAGAGAGCUUGCUCUCGGGUUGACGAGUGGCGGACGGGUGAGUAAUGUCUGGGAAACUGCCCGAUGGAGGGGGAUAACUACUGGAAACGGUAGCUAAUACCGCAUAACGUCGCAAGACCAAAAGAAGGGGGGACCUUCGGGCCGUUCUUUGCCAUCGGAUGUGCCCAGAUGGGAUUAGCUUGUAGGUG
rnacentral:rRNA from 1 species